rnacentral:rRNA from 1 species
GUCGUAAAACUCUGUUGUUGGAGAAGAAUGGUCGGCAGAGUAACUGUUGUCGGCGUGACGGUAUCCAACCAGAAAGCCACGGCUAACUACGUGCCAGCAGCCGCGGUAAUACGUAGGUGGCAAGCGUUAUCCGGAUUUAUUGGGCGUAAAGCGAGCGCAGGCGGUUUUUUAAGUCUGAUGUGAAAGCCCUCGGCUUAACCGAGGAAGCGCAUCGGAAACUGGGAAACUUGAGUGCAGAAGAGGACAGUGGAACUCCAUGUGUAGCGGUGAAAUGCGUAGAUAUAUGGAAGAACACCAGUGGCGAAGGCGGCUGUCUGGUGUGUAACUGACGCUGAGGCUCGAAAGCAUGGGUAGCGAACAGGAUUAGAUACCCUGGUAGUCCAUGCCGUAAACGAUGAAUGCUAGGUGUUGGAGGGUUUCCGCCCUUCAGUGCCGCAGCUAACGCAUUAAGCAUUCCGCCUGGGGAGUACGACCGCAAGGUUGAAACUCAAAGGAAUUGACGGGGGCCCGCACAAGCGGUGGAGCAUGUGGUUUAAUUCGAAGCAACGCGAAGAACCUUACCAGGUCUUGACAUCUUUUGAUCACCUGAGAGAUCAGGUUUCCCCUUCGGGGGCAAAAUGACAGGUGGUGCAUGGUUGUCGUCAGCUCGUGUCGUGAGAUGUUGGGUUAAGUCCCGCAACGAGCGCAACCCUUAUGACUAGUUGCCAGCAUUUAGUUGGGCACUCUAGUAAGACUGCCGGUGACAAACCGGAGGAAGGUGGGGAUGACGUCAAAUCAUCAUGCCCCUUAUGACCUGGGCUACACACGUGCUACAAUGGAUGGUACAACGAGUUGCGAGACCGCGAGGUCAAGCUAAUCUCUUAAAGCCAUUCUCAGUUCGGACUGUAGGCUGCAACUCGCCUACACGAAGUCGGAAUCGCUAGUAAUCGCGGAUCAGCACGCCGCGGUGAAUACGUUCCCGGGCCUUGUACACACCGCCCGUCACACCAUGAGAGUUUGUAACACCCGAAGCCGGUGGCGUAACCCUUUUAGGGAGCGAGCCGUCUAAGGGACAAAAU